UACAGAGGGGGCGAGCGUUAUUCGGAAUUAUUGGGCGUAAAGGGCUCGUAGGCGGUUUGUCGCGUCGGGAGUGAAAACUCAGGGCUUAACCCUGAGCCUGCUUCCGAUACGGGCAGACUAGAGGUAUGCAGGGGAGAACGGAAUUCCUGGUGUAGCGGUGAAAUGCGCAGAUAUCAGGAGGAACACCGGUGGCGAAGGCGGUUCUCUGGGCAUUACCUGACGCUGAGGAGCGAAAGUGUGGGGAGCGAACAGG
rnacentral:rRNA from 1 species